CAGCUAGCAAAUAUGGUACGCACAAAGCAAACAGCACGUAAAUCGACCACUGGCUACGCAGAGAAUUGUUUAAGGGCGAAGCAACGUGCGCACUCAUCUUCGGUCCCGCCGCCUGAACCUAUUCCCUUUUCUGUCUAUGCUGACUUGAGGCUGGAGCUCGACACUAUCCAAGGGAAGUAUGACAGGCUCAUGGAGCGCAUUGAGGAGGUUUAUUCGAGUGAUCAUAUCAUGGGUGACGGACUUAAGGAGAAGACCAUCUCUAGGCUUGAGUCAUUGAUCCAGAUGGCCACAUCCAGGUUGGAGAAGAUGCCAGUACACCGUGACCGGUCCAGCCAGCUCACUGUGCAGAUGAUAGCGGAUGAACUUAGGAGCAUGGUCAAGAUGCUGCGUGAGGACACGACCCCUAACAUCCCUAGGACCCGUGAGGAGGAGACCGAGGAGGAGGACGAGGACUAGAGGACGUGACCUUUAGUUGCUUAGGCUGUUCCUUUUAUCACUAUGUUGUUUAUUUCUGUUUCCAGACUUUCGUACUAUUUUGAUUCGGAUCUGUACUCGUAUUUCGUACUUUGACAUUCGUACCUUUCGUUUCGAACCAUGUUCUAAUUCAGUAACGCACUUUCCUUGAUUCCUA